rfam:Myotis brandtii contig206825, whole genome shotgun sequence.
AGAGGCCCUCCGUGGCCAAGGCGGAAUGCUUGCCUCAUCGCUGCGGCAACAAAGCAAGCAUUCCGCUGGGCCGCUCAUGCUGCCCGC